GCCAAAGAAGAGAGGGUCAUGAAGAAAAGACAAAUAAGGUUUUAAAAUAUGCUCUCUAAAUAACUAGAAAGUUAUUUAAGGGAUGAGAACAUUCUAAGCCUUGUAAGGACUUGGGAUUAAGAGACAUUAGCUUCAUGAUUCCAAAGGAAUGCUUUAAAGAAGAGUUAUGUAUGUUGGUCAGCUGGAUAAGGAGAAUUUAAGGGAAAGUCUGAAGAUUUAAAAAAGAUGAGCAAGUUCCAGAGAACUUGGAUAGAAGCCUGGCCUACAUCCUUAUUAGAUAACUAUCCAUCGAUCUGGGACUGUUCUGUGCGUGUGUCCUACCCACCUGGCAUGUUGGGAGAGCUAAAUCAAUGCCACAAUGACAUGCUGUCUUUCUCCACUUGAGAUUGAACCAGUCAGCCUCUCUCAUUGACAAUACAUAUGAUCAGGGAGUGGAGGCCUAUGGAGAUUAUGUCCUAGAAGGCGAAGAACACAGGUCUGCAGCCUCCUACCCAGCCAGGGAACAGCCAGAAAUCCAAGAAAAGACAAGCUGCAGCUAGAGCUCUCAGCAAUGUCAUGAGGGUGGAGCCAAGCAAUCCCUUGGUCCAGAGAUAUUGGAAAAUCCUGCAUCCUUCAGAUGUAUGAACAAGAAUGGGAGUGGACAGAGCAGAAAUCACUAGCUGCCAAAUCUGAGGAAAAUAACUCCAAAUUGGGGAGGUGGUCACUGAUUCCCACAGGUCUUCUCAUCAUGGUCUUGCAGUGGAAGAUGGGAAAAAUCAGGAAAGAAGGCUGAAAUUUGGAGAAAAUUGUGAAAAUGUGCCAGAGAGAGGGAUAGUUUUUGUGAACAAUAUAAGUAUUGGUCCAAAUGUUUCUUUAGAACUGGGUAUAGUGGCUCAUGCAUGUAAUCCUAGCACUUUGGGAGGUUGAGGCAGGAGGAUCACUUGAGCUCAAGAGUUCCAAGACCAGCCUGGACAACAGAGUGAGUCCCCUGUCUCUACAAGAAAAAUAAAAAAAGGAAUUAGCCAGCUGUGGUGGCAUAUGCCAGUAGUCUCAGCUACUCAGGAGGCUGAAGUGAAACGUUUGCCUAAGUCCAAGAGGUCGAGGCUGCAAUGAGCCACAAUUGUGUCAUUGCACUCUAGCCUGGGUGACAGUGAGACUCUGCCUCAAAAAUAAAUAAAUAAAUAAACAAAAUAUCCCUUUAAAAAAUAUUAUUCUGGUCUGGGCACAGUGGCUCACCCCUGUAGUUCCAGUACUUUUUGAGGCCAAGGCAGGAGGAUCACUUGAGGUCAGAAGUUUGAGACCAGCCUGGCCAACAAUGGCAAAACCCUGUCUCCACAGGCAAAAAAUUAGCCAGGCAUGGUGGUGGGCACCUGUAAUCUCAGCUACCUGGCAGGCUAAGGCAGGAGAAUAACUUGAACCUGAGAGGCAGAGGUUACAGAAAGCCAAGAUUGUGCCACUGCACUCCAGCCUGGGAGACACUGUCUCAAAAAAAAGAAUUAUGUCUUAUUUUCUCUAUAGUUCACUUUGCUAUCUAAAAUUAUUUAUUUAUUUAAUUACUCAAUUUCUAGUGGAUAUUAGAAAGUUUUCUUUUAAAAAAUGCAGUGAUUUUUAAUAUAUUUAUAAAGUUGUACUACUAUUACUACAAUUAUAGAACAUUAUGAUCACCCUCAAAGAAACCACAUACCAUUAACAGUCACUCUUCUUGUUUCCCAAACUCCCAGCCUUAGGCAACCACUAAUUUAUUUUCUGUAUCUAUGGAUUUGCUUAUUCUGCAUAUUUCAUAUAAAUUGAAUCUUAUGAUAUGUGGUCUUUUGUGACUGGCUUCUUUCACUUAGCAUAAUGUUUUCAAGGUUUAUCCAUGUAGCAUGCAUCAGUACUUCAUUUUUAUUGCCAAAUAAUAUUUCAUUGUAUAGGUGUUUUAUUUAUUUGUUCAUCAGUUGAUUGACAUUUGACUUGCUUCCAGGAUAUUAUGAAUAAUAGCUGUGAACAUUCACAUACAAGUUUUGUGUGGAUGUUUUCAUUUCUCUUGGGGAAAUACCUAGAGGUAGAAUUUCUAAGUCAUAUGGUAACUCUGUUUAGCUUUUUGAGGAAUUGACAAGCUGUUUUUCAAAGCAGCUCCACCAUUUUACAUUGUAUAAGGUUCCAGUUUUUCCACAGCCUCAGCCAACACUUGUUAUUAUUGUCUGUCCUUUUUGCUAUAGCCAUCUUAGUGGCUGUGAAGUGAUAUCUCACUGUGGUUUCAGUUUGCAUUUCCCUGAUUACUAAUGAUUUUGAGCAUCUUUUCAUGGCUUUGUGUCCAUUUACAUAUUUUCUUCGGAGAUAUGUCUGUUCAGAUCCUUUGCCUAUGUUUCAAAUUGAGUUCUCUGUCUUUCUAUUGUUCAGUUACAAUAGAAUAUUGUAUUCUAGAUACUUGAACCAUAGAAGAUAUAUAAUUUACAAAUACUUUCCUGUAAUAUGGGUUGUCUCUUCACUUUCUUGAUAGUGUCCUUUGAUCCAUGAAAGUUUUUGAUUUUGAUAAAGUUCAAUUUAAUUUUUU